CUGGGAGAGGAUGGGGACAGGGAUGGGAUGGGGACAGGGAGAGGAUGGGGACAGGGAAAGGAUGGGGACAGGGACGGGAAUGGGGACAGGGACAGAAAUGGGGACAGGAUGGGGACAGGGACAGGAUGGGGACAGGGACAGGAAUGGGGACAGGAUGG
rnacentral:lncRNA from 1 species